rnacentral:rRNA from 1 species
GACGAACGCUGGCGGCGUGCUUAACACAUGCAAGUCGAACGAUGAAGCUAGAGCUUGCUCUGGUGGAUUAGUGGCGAACGGGUGAGUAACACGUGAGUAACCUGCCCCGAACUCUGGGAUAACUGCUGGAAACGGUAGCUAAUACCGGAUAUGACCAAUGAAGGCAUCUUCUGUUGGUGGAAAGAAUUUCGGUUCGGGAUGGACUCGCGGCCUAUCAGCUUGUUGAUGAGGUAACGGCUCACCAAGGCGACGACGGGUAGCCGGCCUGAGAGGGUGAUCGGCCACACUGGGACUGAGACACGGCCCAGACUCCUACGGGAGGCAGCAGUGGGGAAUAUUGCACAAUGGGCGCAAGCCUGAUGCAGCAACGCCGCGUGAGGGACGACGGCCUUCGGGUUGUAAACCUCCUUUAGUAGGGAAGAAGCGAAAGUGACGGUACCUGCAGAAAAAGCACCGGCUAACUACGUGCCAGCCGCCGCAGUAA